rnacentral:rRNA from 1 species
UACGUAGGGUGCGAGCGUUAAUCGGAAUUACUGGGCGUAAAGCGUGCGCAGGUGGUCAUGUAAGACAGAUGUGAAAUCCCCGGGCUUAACCUGGGAAUUGCAUUUGUGACUGCAUGGCUAGAGUGUGGCAGAGGGGGAUGGAAUUCCGCGUGUAGCAGUGAAAUGCGUAGAGAUGUGGAGGAACACCGAUGGCGAAGGCAGCCCCCUGGGUCAAGAUUGACGCUCAUGCACGAAAGCGUGGGGAGCAAACAGG